rnacentral:rRNA from 1 species
UACGGAGGGGGCUAGCGUUGUUCGGAAUUACUGGGCGUAAAGCGCGCGUAGGCGGCUUUGCAAGUCAGAGGUGAAAGCCUGGAGCUCAACUCCAGAACUGCCUUUGAAACUGCAUCGCUAGAAUCAUGGAGAGGUAAGCGGAAUUCCUGGUGUAGCGGUGAAAUGCGUAGAUAUCAGGAGGAACACCUGCGGUGUAGACGGCUUACUGGACCGUAACUGACGCUGAGGCACGAAAGCGUGGGUAGCAAACAGG